rnacentral:tRNA from 1 species
AGCGGGGUGGGGAAGCCAGGUAUCCCGCGGGGCUCAUAACCCCGAGGUCGGUGGUUCAAAAGGGCACGCCUAGA